rnacentral:rRNA from 1 species
UGGGGAAUAUUGGACAAUGGGGGCAACCCUGAUCCAGCAAUGCCGCGUGUGUGAAGAAGGUCUUCGGAUUGUAAAGCACUUUCGACGGGGACGAUGAUGACGGUACCCGUAGAAGAAGCCCCGGCUAACUUCGUGCCAGCAGCCGCGGUAAUACGAAGGGGGCUAGCGUUGCUCGGAAUGACUGGGCGUAAAGGGCGUGUAGGCGGUUUACACAGUCAGAUGUGAAAUCCCCGGGCUUAACCUGGGAGCUGCAUUUGAUACGUGUAGACUAGAGUGUGAGAGAGGGUUGUGGAAUUCCCAGUGUAGAGGUGAAAUUCGUAGAUAUUGGGAAGAACACCGGUGGCGAAGGCGGCAACCUGGCUCAUGACUGACGCUGAGGCGCGAAAGCGUGGGGAGCAAACAGGAUUAGAUACCCUGGUAGUCCACGCUGUAAACGAUGUGUGCUAGAUGUUGGGUAACUUUGUUAUUCAGUGUCGCAGUUAACGCGUUAAAGCACACCGCCU